rnacentral:rRNA from 1 species
ACCAAUAAGUAAUUAUUAUAAGCCUAAGUAUUAAUAGUUAUUUUCUAAAAAUUUGAAAAAUUUGGCGGUGGUUCAGUCCUGUCAGAGGAACCUGUCUUUUAAACGAUACACCACGAAAUAUUUUACUUAAACUGAUAAAGUAUGUAUACCAUCAUUAUUAGGUAAUUUUUAUAGAAUAAAUUACUAAAAGACUAGCAGGUAAAGCUAAAUAUAUUAGAUCAAGGUGCAGCUUAUGUUUAAGUUAAGAUGGGUUACAAUAAUAUUUAUUUAUUACGGAUAGGUGAUUUAAAUAUUGCCUGGAAGGAGGAUUUGAUUGUAAAAAUAGUUUAGUAUGGUAUUUAGAUAUAGGCUCUGAAGCAUGUACAUAUCGCCCGUCGCUUUCAUUCAUAAAAUGAGAUAAGUCGUAACAUA